rnacentral:rRNA from 1 species
AAGCGGUGGAGCAUGUGGUUAAUUCGAUGCAACGCGAAGAACCUUACCUGGGCUUGACAUCCCGGGAAUCCCCUGGAAACAGGGAGUGCCCUUCGGGGAACCCGGAGACAGGUGCUGCAUGGCUGUCGUCAGCUCGUGUCGUGAGAUGUUGGGUUAAGUCCCGCAACGAGCGCAACCCUUGUCUUUAAUUGCCAUCAUUCAGUUGGGCACUUUAGAGAGGCUGCCGGUGUUAAACCGGAGGAAGGUGGGGAUGACGUCAAGUCCUCAUGGCCUUUAUGCCCAGGGCUACACACGUGCUACAAUGGGUGGUACAAAGAGCAGCAACCUCGCGAGAGUAAGCGAAUCUCAAAAAGCCAUCCUCAGUUCGGAUUGAAGUCUGCAAUCGCCUGCAUGAAGCCGGAGCUGCUAGUAACCGCAGGCCAGCUAUACUGCGGUGAAUACGUUCUCGGGCCUU